rnacentral:rRNA from 1 species
UACGUAGGGGGCGAGCGUUGUCCGGAGUUACUGGGCGUAAAGGGCAUGCAGGCGGUCGGACGCGUUUUGUGUGACAGCGGGUGGCUCAACUAUCCGAGCAUACAAAAGACGGUCUGACUUGAGGACUCGAGAGGGACACGGAAUUCCGGGUGGAGUGGUGAAAUGCGUAGAGAUCCGGAGGAACACCGAAGGCGAAGGCAGUGUCCUGGCGAGUGACUGACGCUGAGGUGCGAAAGCCAGGGGAGCGAACGGG